rnacentral:lncRNA from 1 species
ACAAAAAACAGAGGAAAAACCUGAAGGAAGAGGCAAAGAUGGCCUUAACUUCACAGGAGAGGUAGACAUGCCUUUGCUGGGAGAGGAGCAGGGUAGCGGUCAUCGCCGUUGCCGGCAGGAGGUGUCUCCAGUGUGAAAAGACAUGGAAGCAAGCUGGAGAUUCGCGACUCAGCUACAAUGAACUCCAUUAAAAUCCUUUGAAGCAUUCAAUUGCCGCAACAGACCUAGAGGAAAAUAGCCCAAUUAACUCACCCACUCACCAAAAAUAAGAAAUGGAGGGAAAGAGAUCCAAGAACACAAACCUACACUACAAUGGGUGAGUGGAUAAGAAGCAUAAACAUGUAGCAAUACAACAAGCCUCUGAAGGAGACAUGGCGGCUCAGCGGUGACGGCAAGAGAGGCGAGCUGCUGGCUAGCAUCCUCUUCAGUCUCAGCGUAGUACCUACAAAGAAAUGUACCCCUGUAGAAAUACCGAACCAUUACAAAUGUAGCCUCCCAUAAAAAUAUAACCCUCUUCUAAUAAUAACAAAAAUUCUAGUAAAUACAUAUUUCAUUAGCAAGAGAACGGGCAACCUCUUUGUUUGUUGAUAGCUUAGCAGGCUCCAAAAGCAGGGAAAACUCUUGUUGGUUGAUAGCUUGUAAGUCACUAAAGGUAGCUUGAGGUCCGCACACAAAAAUUAAGUCCUCUGAGAUCACAUAAGAGACAUAAUAUAAAUUUCAAAUAUUUACAAAUAAAGUCACAGUUUGGUUUGGUCUGUUCCCUUGAAAGAAAAACGGAUAAGACAUGGGACUUUAUGACAAAAAUAAUGGCUAAUUACAUGAGUGGUAUCAGGUUUCAAAGAUUUUGUGAUACCAAGAAUACUAAAGUAUAGUGAUUAAAAGGGAAACAUGAUUACUGAACAUUAUUUAUUGCCAAAUUAUUAUCUUUGAAGAAGUCCCACAGAAAAAAGGAAAUAGAUAAGUUGUAAAGAUCACCGUGCAUUUUCGCUAAAUCUUGAACUAAAUUCAGUUCAUAAAUUUAAAAGCAUUCUCUGAAGGGCUUGACCUAAGAAAGAUGAUGAGCCGGAGAUUAACUACAUUGGCGGUUUCAACAACAUAUACAUAGCAACAACUCUUAUAGAUCCUACCUAACACAUGCAGUAAAAAUAUUUUGGUAGGGAAUCAAAGAUAAAUAAAAUUUAGCUGGCUCCUAACCAUUUAUGUGGGGUUACAUGAUGUAUUCAACGACCCUGAGAAUAGUGCAGGAAAUUUAAGGGUAUGGAGUCAUACUUGUCUGCAGUUAUAAAAGAAGAGUUGCUUGUCUGUUGCGUGAGUUCAAGAGGGACGAACGUGAAUGGUUUCAAGGAGGUUAACAGUCGCACUACCAGUUCACCACAGUUCAGUCGCUCGACACCAUAACCGACGGUUGCGUCCUUUACUGGUUUGAUUAAAACUAUCAUUGGUAUGCCUCCUCCUUCCGUGCAUAAACACCCAGGGAUAAAUUCAUCUACAGGGUCAAAAAUAGGUGCUGGAUUAAUGCAUAUUCAGAACUUGGGACCAAGAAAAAGUCCACAUUUGCGGAGUAAUGCAUUAUUGGCAGAAAUAGAGAAGUAGCUAUAAUUAUUAAAAACACCAAGAGCCUUCACUAAAUGUUUUGGUGGCAGAAAUAGAGUAAUAUAGGAAUCUGUUUAAAAAACUUCUAAUCUGAUUUGGUGGCAACUCUUGCUGCAAUGACAAGUGCCCAUGCAUCUGAUAAAAUAUAAACCUUAUAGUUAAUUUAAAUGUGUGGGAUGAAACAUAUUAUUCUGAGCAUUUGUAAUAGCCAUUUGCACACAUGUAUGCCAACUAAAACUUCUGUGAAGAGCACACAUCAUAUGUCUGGCACCAAAAUCAGGGUACUUGUUGAUUUUUCAAUCUGCACGGCGCCAAAGGGGAAUUGUGCGUGCAACACCUAUCAGUUUCCUUGUGCUGCUAAUUACUAAAAAAUAGGACACGUGACUACGGUAGUGUUUGGCAGCACUAGAGAUAGUUUCUUUCAAUUAGCUGCCAGAACAUGUAGGCCCUACAUAUGAAAAAGUUGCGGAAAAGAACAAAAAGCUAAUUCUUUGGAUUACAAAGUGAAAAGACAAUUUCUAGCUAUGGUACAAUAUGUAGCCGACAGCAAGAUUUACCAAGGUCGCUAUUCACUGCAUAUUUGCCUGGCCGGGAGGACUAUUGAAAUAGCUAUAAUGAAUCCUACAUCCAAGCAGAAUAUUGGGCACCAAGAUUUUUGGAAGAACACAUCAACAAUGAAAAAGAUACUAAUAGAAUUUAUAAUAUAGCUUGGUUGCUAUGUCUAUAUGGUCGCAUUGAAAAUAAAAAGUGUAGUAUAUAACCCACUAAUCAUGCAUAAGACACAAGCUGCUUGAAAAUCAGAGGACCCGAAUUGCUUCCAGGAUACAAACCAUCAGAGUCAUAAGAGAUGAUAUAUUAUGUAUGUGCCUGAUGUCUGAAUCUUAGAAGAGCAAGUAGAAACUUCUUUUUACCCAUUUGGAGCA